UACGGAGGGUGCCAGCGUUAUUCGGAAUCAUUGGGCGUAAAGCGCGUGUAGGCGGCUAGGUAAGUCAGAUGUGAAAGUUCUGGGCUUAACCGAGAAAGUGCAUUUGAAACUGCCUGGCUUGAGUCUCGUAGAGGAAGGUGGAAUUCCCAGUGUAGAGGUGAAAUUCGUAGAUAUUGGGAGGAACACCGGUGGCGAAGGCGACCUUCUGGGCGCAGACUGACGCUGAGACGCGAAAGCGUGGGGAGCAAACAGG
rnacentral:rRNA from 1 species